UACGUAGGAGGCAAGCGUUGUCCGGAAUUACUGGGCGUAAAGCGCGUGUAGGUGGUGGGACAAGUCUGCUGUGAAAGCGCCUGGCUUAACCGGGCGAGGUCGGCGGAAACUGUUCGACUCGAGGACGGUAGAGGGGGGUGGAAUUCCCGGUGUAGUGGUGAAAUGCGUAGAUAUCGGGAGGAACACCAGUGGCGAAGGCGACUACCUGGCCUGUUCUUGACGCUGAGGCGCGAAAGCUAGGGGAGCAAACGGG
rnacentral:rRNA from 1 species